UUCGCAUCAUCUCAGGAGCUAAUAAUAGCCUGAUAAGUGGAGCUGCGAUUGUACAAAAGCAUAACAGCUCACAAUUGCUCUCUGUUAAAAGUUACAAAUAGGCAAGCAAACUACAAGCCAAGAUCUUACUAAUACGGUCUAUUCUUUUGAUUCUUAAGACUCACAAUGUCACCUCUUACAGUUUUCUCAAGAUGGAUUCAAAAUGGGGCAUCAUCGUUGAACGCACCACUGUAGGAUGAAAGCUUUUUCCUGCUAUCGAGAGCCCGCUGACAAUCCCCAACUUAGAAAGGUGCGUUAUUCUUCUACAACUUUUAUUAGACGUUUCUUCUUUGACAAUGCACCAAAAAGAA
rnacentral:lncRNA from 1 species